rnacentral:rRNA from 1 species
UACGUAGGGGGCAGGCGUUGUCCGGAAUUAUUGGGCGUAAAGAGCGUGUAGGCGGCCAGAUAAGUCCGCUGUGAAAUCUCGAGGCUCAACUUCGAGCUGUCGGUGGAAACUAUCUGGCUAGAGUCCGGAAGAGGAGAAUGGAAUUCCUGGGUGUAGCGGUGAAAUGCGCAGAUAUCAGGAAGAACACCCGUGGCGAAGGCGGUUCUCUGGGACGGUACUGGACGCUGGAGACGCGAAAGCGUGGGGAGCGAACAGG